AGUGAACGCUGGCGGUAGGCCUAACACAUGCAAGUCGAACGGCAGCACAGUAAGAGCUUGCUCUUACGGGUGGCGAGUGGCGGACGGGUGAGGAAUACAUCGGAAUCUACUUUUUCGUGGGGGAUAACGUAGGGAAACUUACGCUAAUACCGCAUACGACCUACGGGUGAGAGCAGGGGAUCUUCGGACCUUGCGCGAUUGAAUGAGCCGAUGUCGGAUUAGCUAGUUGGCGGGGUAAAGGCCCACCAAGGCGACGAUCCGUAGCUGGUCUGAGAGGAUGAUCAGCCACACUGGAACUGAGACACUGUCCAGACUCCUACGGGAGGCAGCAGUGGGGAAUAUUGGACAAUGGGCGCAAGCCUGAUCCAGCCAUACCGCGUGGGUGAAGAAGGCCUUCGGGUUGUAAAGCCCUUUUGUUGGGAAAGAAAAGCAGCAGGUUAAUACCCCGCUGUUCUGACGGUACCCAAAGAAUAAGCACCGGCUAACUUCGU
rnacentral:rRNA from 1 species